AUGAUGUGGCCGCCGCGGUGCUUCCGAGCCUGCUGAGCCUAAGAGUGCGCGGGCGCGCAAAGCACAAGGACCAGCUCAAGGAUACCGGUUCGAGCCCCCGGCUCCCCACCUGCAGGGGAGUCGCUUCCCAGGCGGUGAAGCAGGGACGUUGCUCGGAGACUGAACUGGAAAACGGCGCCAUAGAACUGGUGUCAGUGUCUCUGGCCAGCAGCUGAACAGAGGCCAGCCACCUGGAGUCUCAAAUAGAUGUAUAUAGGGGUCAAGUGGUGAAGCAGGGCUGCAGUUGUCUCUCUCCCUCUCUGUCAUUCCCUUCCCUCUUGAUUUCUGUCUGUCUCUAUUCAAUAAGUAAAGAUAAUAAAAUUUAUA